rnacentral:rRNA from 1 species
AGAGUUUGAUCCUGGCUCAGGGUUAACGCUGGCGGCGUGCCUAACACAUGCAAGUCGAACGGUUCUAAGCGCGAGCUUAGGAUAGUGGCGAACGGGUGAGUAAAAGGUAGGAAUCUACCCCUUGGACGGAGAUAGCUACUGGAAACGGUAGGUAAACUUCGAUAAGCCCGAGAGGGGAAAGUGGUGAGACAGCCGAGGGAUGAGCCUACUCUCCAUCAGGUAGUUGGUGAGAUAAAAGCUUACCAAGCCGAUGACGGAUAACCGGUGUGAGAGCAUGAACGGUCACAAGGGCACUGAGAGACGGGCCCUACUCCUACGGGAGGCAGCAGUGGGGAAUCUUGGACAAUGGGCGAAAGCCUGAUCCAGCGACGCCGCGUGGAGGAAGAAGUCCUUCGGGAUGUAAACUUCUGAACUAGCCGAAUAAAAGGCCUGUGGACACACAGGAGAAGAAAGUAGGCUAGGAAAAGUCCCGGCUAACUACGUGCCAGCAGCCGCGGUAAGACGUAGGGGGCAAGCGUUACCCGGAAUUACUGGGCGUAAAGGGGGCGUAGGCGGUAAAAGAAGUCAUCUGUGAAAACCUAUUGCUCAACGAUAGGCUAGCGGAUGAAACUGAAUUACUUGAGGGCACCAGAGGUAGACGGAAUUACCCGAGUAGGGGUGAAAUCCGCAGAUACGGGUAGGAACGCCGGUGGAGAAGUCGGUCUACUGGGGUGCACCAGACGCUGAGGCCCGAAAGCUAGGGGAGCAAACCGGAUUAGAUACCCGGGUAGUCCUAGCCGUAAACGAUGCUCACUAGGUGUAGGGAGUGAUAAACCCUCUGUGCUGAAGCGAACGCGCUAAGUGAGCCGCCUGGGGAGUACGUCCGCAAGGAUGAAACUCAAAGGAAUUGACGGGGGUCCGCACAAGCGGUGGAGCAUGUGGUUUAAUUCGAUGGUAACCGAAGAACCUUACCAGGGAUUGACAUGUAACUGAAGGUAGAGAAAUCUACUGGCCUGCUGCAAAGCGGGAGGUUACACAGGUGGUGCACGGCCGUCGUCAGCUCGUGCCGUGAGGUGUUGGGUUAAGUCCCGCAACGAGCGCAACCC